ACCCACUCCAGUAUUCUCACCUGGGAAAUCCCGUGGACCGGGGAGCCUGGUGGGCUACAGUCCGUGGGGUUGCAAAGAGUCACAGUUGGGCACAGCACGGCAUAGCAUCGAUAGUGUAUGUGUGUAUCAACCCAAAUUGCACCCCCUGCCUUCCCCGCUCGGUGUCCAUACGUUUAUCAUCCGUGUCUGUAUUUCUGCUUUGUCAGUAAGGUCUUCUAUAUCAUUUUUCUAGAUCCCACAUAUAUGGAUUAGUGUAGGAUGUUUGUUUUUCUAACUUUCUUCACUCUGUAGGACAGGACACUCUGUGUCCAUCCGUGUCUCUACAAAUGACCCAAUUUCAUUUAAUGGGACCAUUUAUGCCAUCAGGCAGUGAGCACAUUUCCCUGGAAUGUGGGAGGGGCCCACACGUAAACACAGUGCUCCUUCUAACUUGGCCCCAGACUCAGUUCCUGCUGAAGUUGUCCACAGAGACUCCACUUGAGCAAAAGGCACCAGUGAACAUGAUUAUUUCAUAGGGGAGAGGAGAAGGAAUCCCUUUCGUGUCCUUAAACUGCCAAAACAUUCCCUUAGCAGGUCUCCUCCCCAGGUAACUAGUUGGUUGUUCUACCAAGAGGUGCCCAGUCCCCCAGGCACAACUGUGUCUUCUCCCCAGACCACUGCUUACCUGCUAGCUCCAGCUCCUCACCCUGGAAUCUUCACCUGGAGCUAGUAGACACCUCAGUGUCAGAUUUGUCUUGUCACUUACAGCAUCCGUUCUGCUCUUGUAUACCUGCCCUUGGCAUUGCUGUGCAGUUGUACUCAAAAGCCAGGCCUUGGGAAAACAAGAAAGGGCUGUGGAGGUGGGUGGUAAGGAUCCUUUCCCUUCUGUGUGGUUGUUUUUUGUUUUUUUUUUUUUAAGGUUUUUUUAAAAAUAUGGAUGUGGGUGGACCAUGUUUAAGAUCUUUGUUUAAAAAUAAAAUAAAAUAAAAAAGAUCUUUAUUGAAGGUUACAAUAUUACUUCUGUUUUAUGUUUUGGUUUUUUGGCCACGAGGAAUGUGGGAUCUUAGCUCGAUCUUGCACCCGCUGCAGUGGAAGGUGAAGUUAACCACUGGACCGCCAAGGAAGUCCCCUUUCGAAUGUCUUCAUCAUCAUUAACAGCAACACCCCAGGAAACCUGUGCUGGUCCAAGAGCUUUGCCCAGGAACGAAGAUGGGCAGUGUUGGCCCUCAGAGGCUCAGGAAGGAAAGAGGGAGUUGGACUGGGAUAUCACAGCUCAGCCAGUCCUGGGGGGAUAUAAAUAGGGGGGUGGCAAGAGCAGAGAGGAAGGAUGGGGUCUCAGGUGAGCAGGAAACGUCAUGUAACUUCUCUCCUGGGAGCUGCUCACUUCCACGUCUCCUAGAGACUUCCUGAGCUGGGACCACCCAGGAGAAUCUCAGCAGGUGGAAAAGUUUAGGAAGAGCUCAACAGCUGAUGGGCUGGCUGUAUCACCUGCUUUCCUAAGGUCUGUUUGGCGAGAACCUGCUUAAUCUGCUCUGUCUUUUGUGGCCUUAGUGAACAAGUGUUCUGUGUGGCCUUUGUAACACUGCUUUGUCACCUCACACGUGUAUUUGUCAGUCUGCUCUUUCCUCUCUGGUCUUUUGGGAAAUAAGGCAAUGCCCUUGAUUCUGCUUCCAUUCCUUUCCUCUCUGAGGAAGCCGUCCCUCACCAGCAUUCCUGCUUUCUCUCUGUUCCUCUCCUGCAGUACAGAAAGUUUUCACUGGUGGAGUAUCCUAGAUCCUGUGUUCCCCACUGAGGAAUUAUGCUUGAUUACUGUUAGUUACCAGCCAGAGCCUCAGUUGCUAAAAGAGUUGCUAUAAAUCUGGGGGAGAAUUGCAUGCCUUCCCCGAAUGUCAGAUUUAUUUGCCACAUGAGUUUAUCAAAAAUUCAGAAAGAAGCAAUUCAUGCCCUAGAAAAAUCAGUCUUCCUCUUAGGAAAAGCCCCAUGACUGUAAGUCCAGUUUGGUUUGGAGGGAGCAUCCAAUGUGAAUGGGUGCCUCAGGCCCUGGGGGCUUCCCAGAGAUUGGCUGCCAUCCACCAAUCAGAAGCCUUGGCUGAACAUGAGCCACUCCUGGGCAAAUUUCUGCCCAGCAACGCAAGGUGGAAGGUUCCCAUCCCCCUUUCCUCCCCUCCUCACACUCAGGAGCAAUGUGCUUCCCUCUACAGACAGCUCCCGAGAAAGCAAUGAAUGGACUGCAGCCAUUUCUGAGAAUAACUGUGAUGGUAAAGGCUGUGAGUGACUCAGUUUCCAGUGCAUGCUUUCCACCUCCCCUUUUGAAGAUGAAGACACUAAGUCAGGUACCUAGAGCGCUCCUCCACUAGCUACAGGUUUUCAGAAGGGCACCCAUAACGAUUAUCCCUCCUCGCCACCCAAGUUCUGAAGCAACUGCUGCUGCUGCUGCUGCUGCUGAGUCACUUCAGUCGUGUCCGACUCUGUGUGACCCCACAGACGGCAGCCGACCAGGCUCCGCCGUCCCUGGGA